UGAGAAAGCGACUUAAAGCGGGGUGAACGGUCUGAUGAAUUCAGACAAAAUCAGUCAUCAUUCAAACAUUAGCAUCAUCAGGUCUACAGUGCAACAUGAAGACUCAGCCUGACGGUGGGACUGCUGCUCGUGGUGUUUGCAGUUUAGCACAGCGAUGCCUAGUGAGAUAGCCAUGAUGUCAGCGUCACUGAUGUGUAUUGUCAUGAAGACCAAUGUUGAUCUCAAGUGAGCUGGCGAUCGUGGCUCAAGAUUUGGCAGUUCGCCUUGUAAUCAGAAGGUUGCUGGUUCGAGCCCCGGCUUGGACAGUCUCGGUCGUUGUGUCCUUGGGCAAGACACUUCACCUACUACCUACUGUUUCUUAGAAUUCGUUUGAUGAGAACGUGGCUUGAAGCGUGGUCAUUGGACCGAUCACUUCAGACACGUCAUCAUCAGGUCUACAGUGAAGUCAGCAUGAAGACUCUCAGCCUGACAGUGGGACUGCUGCUCGUGAUGUUCAGUUUACCACAGUGAUGUCUGCAAGUCUGCUACUUGUACUUGUGUUAGAUCAGUUUUUGAAUUUCUGUCUUUCUCUUCAUUCAGACACAGAGUGAGACAGAGCGAGGACAUCAAACUCAUAUAAGUUCAUGGUCAUGAAGACCAAUGCUGAUCUCAAGUGGGCUGGAAGUUCUUCACUCUAACGCAGUGAAAUCACCUGCCCUCUGCUCGUUUCACUUCUUUGACAAACGGAUCCCAAAGGUGCACACUUGAAGUUGCUUUGUAAACUACAAGUGUUGGUGGAUCAGCAGGUAGCUGAUCAGCUGCAUUGUUGUCUCUCUCUCACUCGCCGGGGCGGAAAUUAUUGUGGGUCAAUGCCCUCGGCCCACUCACCUGUGAAGUGGAAACACCUGAUUCUCACUGAUGCUACCAGCAUUUAAGCAGAGGGAUGGCAGCCAUUCAUCGCUGGAUUGUUGCAUGACUCACGUUAGCGUAUCUCCGCUCUCGUAGUAUUAGACUCCGAAGGCUAUACCUGUGCCUUCGUUCUAACGUGUUCACUCUGUGUUUAGAUCCCGUGGACCCGUCCCUGAUUUCCUGGUGAAGAUCCCUAGUCAUGGACUGUGUUGGGGAGUAACAGAAUACAUGUACCGUCGUUACAUAUUUAAAAUACAAAAUGUGAGUAACUGUAUUCAGUUAGUUACCGUUUAAAAGGGUGGUAUUCAGAAUACAGUUACUUAAAUUCGCUGAUGACACGACCGUGGUGGGUCUCAUUAGCAAGAACGACGAGUCAGCGUACAGAGAGGAAGUGCAGAGACUAACGGACUGGUGUAAGGACAACAACCUGUCUCUGAAUGUUGACAAGACAAAAGAGAUGGUUGUUGACUUUAGGAGGACACGAGGCGACCACUCACCGCUGAGCAUCAACGGCUCCUCUGUGGAGAUCGUUGACAGCACCAAAUUCCUGGGCGUACACCUGGAGAAGGACCUCGGCUGGUCCCUCAACACCAGCUCCCUGCACAAGAAAGCCCA
ensembl:lncRNA